GCGCACGGGUGAGUAACACGUAGGCAACCUGCCUUUAGGACGGGGAUAAUCUCGCGAAAGCGGGCCUAAUACCCGAUGACAUCUUGCGGCAGCAUUGUUGCGAGAUCAAAGGCCUCUAAAGGGCGCUUGAAGAUGGGCCUGCGUCCCAUUAGGUAGUUGGCGGGGUAACAGCCCACCAAGCCUACGAUGGGUAGCUGGUCUGAGAGGAUGAUCAGCCACACUGGAACUGAAACACGGUCCAGACUCCUACGGGAGGCAGCAGUGAGGAAUAUUGCGCAAUGGCCGAAAGGCUGACGCAGCGACGCCGCGUGAGGGAUGAAGUCCGUUAGGAUGUAAACCUCUUUUGCAGGGGAUGAAUGUUCCCGAUUUAUCGGGACUUGACCGUACUCUGCGAAUAAGGAUCGGCCAACUACGUGCCAGCAGCCGCGGUAAUACGUAGGAUCCGAGCGUUGUCCGGAAUUACUGGGUGUAAAGGGCGUGUAGGUGGGCUUCUAAGUCGGUGGUGAAAUCCUGCAGCUUAACUGCAGAACUGCCUCCGAUACUGGGAGUCUUGAGUACGGCAGAGGGAGAUGGAAUUCAUGGUGCAGCGGUGAAAUGUGUAGAUAUCAUGAAGAACACCGGUCGCGAAGGCGGUCUCCUGGUCCGUUACUGACACUGAGGCGCGAAAGCGUGGGGAGCAAACAGGAUUAGAUACCCUGGUAGUCCACGCCUUAAACGAUGGGUACUCGGUGCUGGGCCGCAGGGUUCAGUGCCAAAGCUAACGCAUUAAGGUACCCCCACCUGGGGAGUACGAUCGCAAGGGUG
rnacentral:rRNA from 1 species